UACGUAGGUGGCAAGCGUUGUCCGGAUUUAUUGGGUUUAAAGGGUGCGUAGGCGGUCUAUUAAGUCAGUGGUGAAAUACUCCAGCUCAACUGGAGGGGUGCCAUUGAUACUGAUGGACUUGAGUCAAGUCGAGGUAGGCGGAAUUGACGGUGUAGCGGUGAAAUGCUUAGAUAUCGUCAAGAACACCAAUAGUGAAGACAGCUUACUAGGCUUAAACUGACGCUGAGGCACGAAAGUGUGGGGAGUCAAACAGG
rnacentral:rRNA from 1 species